rnacentral:misc_RNA from 1 species
GAUGAAGAACGCAGCGAAAUGCGAUACGUAAUGUGAAUUGCAGAUCUCUCAGUGAACCAUCGAAUUUUUGAACGCACAUAGCGCCCGCCGGUCAUUCCGGCGGGCAUGCCUGUCCGAGCGUCGAUGACGCCGCUCGAGCCCCCGUGCUCGGUGUUGGGGCGCUAGGUCUCCCAGAGGCCUAGGCCCCCAAGUAGCAGUGCGCGGUCCGGCUGCGGGCCCCGGGUACAGUAACUUCACUGUUGAGAUGCCCUGGGAGCCGCUGGCUGGGUCAGGCGUAAAACCCCCGACAUAGGCCUUCCUGUCCGCCCCCGGCGGGGAGGGAGACCGCCUAAUGUUGACCUCGGAUCAGGUAGGACUACCCGCUGAACUUAAGCAUAUCAAUAAGCGGAGGA